UUUUUGUUUUCCCCGCCCUCUCCUGCUCUGUCUCCUUCACUCUCUGCUCACCUGCACUGGAUCUGCAAUCAACACUCCUGCAAGCUAUCAUCCAAUCACCACUGCCUGCAAGAACCCUGCACUGGCAUCCAGUUCCUGCUGGAUCGUUGUGCCUCCACGGACCUAUUUGCAUCCAGCUCUGCCACCUUCCUCACUCACCUGCCUAUUCACCACCGUCUGGAUCCCUCCCACAUCAACCCAAGACCCCCACCAGCUAUCCCUUCACCCUGCACUUCUGUAAUAAAACUUUGGGAAACAA